rnacentral:lncRNA from 1 species
UGCUGAUUAUAUUCUGGUAACAUUAAAUAUUUAGUUGAGAUCAUAUAUUAUGCUAGUAAAUAUGUAGAUAUUUCAGUUUGAGAAGGAAGUGUAGCCCAUCUUGCAGCAUUUUAAGAAUGAAGAAACCUUCUCUGAAUUAGUACCCUCCCUCUCAUUAAGACCCUGCCAUUUUAUUGUGCUCAGUCUUUAAACUCUUAGCUGGUUAAAGAAUACCAUGCUAAUGAUAUUUGCUGUGCUUCUUGAUUUAACUUUCUCAAAAUAUCAGUGUGCUCCGUUACUAACCUGCACCAGGCAUGGUGCACACAAUGUCUUACUGAUCAAAUUUACCUUUGUUUUCAACAGCAGAUGUUCCUUAGCAAGAUGACCUCUCCCUUAGGGGAUUUUUACUUGUACAUAUGAGAAGAAAAUUGGUUUGGAAUAAGUUGGGUGUAAUAAGUGACCUCAUCAUGGCACUGCAUUGGAUCUCCCAUACAGCUUUUCUGAUGGAGCUUCUGUUAAUGUUUGAGCAGCCUGUCCUGUUGUCAUCUGUCAAAACCAGCUAUUGUUUUUUUCUCUCUCUCUUUACUGUUGUGUAUAUUCCCGCAGAAUUCAUUAGGAUGCACUGCACCUCCAACCCCGAUUGGUGGAUGCCCUCCGAGGAGCAGAUAAACAAAGUGUUCAGCGACGCUGUGGGUCAUGCCCGGCAGGGGCGGGCAGUGGGAACUUUCCUGCACAACGGUGGCUCAUUUUAUGAAGGAAUCGAUCACCAGGCUUCACAGGAUGAAGUCUUCAAUAAAAGUUCACAGGAUGGAUCUGGGGAUUAGUGGACAGAAUCUUCCCGCUGUAGCAGCUGGUCCUUUCAAGAGCUCCAAUUGUGAAUGUCCAUUUACCAUCACCUGAGAGUCCAAAGCAUGUUGUUCAGUCAUACUUCACACAUUCUCAACCUUAAAACUCCCUUGACCACAGUUCCCAAAUAGAAAUCCAUUUUAGGGUUGUUUGGGAAGUAUAUGGCACCUACAACAAAAGAAAGAAAUUGUAGUUGAUUUUAAGUGAUUACUGGCUAGACAGUGAGGGUAGAAAAAUAGGUGAGCUCCUACUCACCUGUCCGACAUCUUCAGGUAAGCUCUGCUUCUUGAGCAGAGGUAGCUUCAAGGAAUGGUGAGUUAGUGUUUGCCCAUGAGAGAAGGCAAGACAUGGGAGUUAUUGUGAGGGACAAAGAAAAAGUUUUCUCUUAUUUUAAUUCAAGUAAAUUGUCCAUGUUUUCCAAAUACUUGAAUUCUGAGUUCUCAGCAAAGAUAUCACAUGCUGUCUGUACGUAACAAAAAGUCUAUUAAUAAGAAGCCAGAGAACAGAGGCCAUUGGUAUAGACAGUGGUUAAUUGGAAGUUAACUACUUUUUUGUUGUUUUAUAAAGAAAACUUCCACUGUGUUGAUCAAAAGGGCACUGUGUGAUCUCUGGAGUUUACAAAUAGUAGUCAUUUUUCAUUAAGCCAAUCAAGAAACAUCCAAAGAUUCAAAAUCAUUUUCAAAUGUUUGAUAUCUUGGUUCAUAGAUGCAUAGGUUCCAUAGCAUUAAGUCUGGCUUUGUCAACACAAUGCCAAAGUAGCGGGUUGAACAGUGAUAAUUCCAUCAAUUAGUUUGGUGCACUGAGACCAAGCUCAUGGUGCAACCUAUGGUAUUUGCUGCACUGAUCAGAUGUUCAGGCACUGAGAACACACCUGCCUCAAGGCCAUUCUGAUAACUAUGCAAUGGGCUUGUUCAUAAUUUCUUCAAAAUUUGAGAGGUUUUCUGUGCUGUGUUGAUCUUUAGGUUUUAUCUGUUUCCCAUUGUCUUGAUGAAAAUGUCUCAUUCGAUCUGUGUGCCGCCUUUGCCCCAGGAUUCCCCUGCAUUCCAGACUCUGGCUCCGUUAACACUGUUCCACUCCAACUCAACUUCUCUUUAAUUUAUUGAGCUUCAUAUGUGAAAUUAGUGAUGUCUUUGGAACCUUUCCUAUCAACAAAUGCUACAGAGGUGCUAGAAUCAUUUCCAGAAGGUUAGUUGUUCAGCUUUGGAGGUGAGGAGAAAAUUCCUUUAGCAAACAAGUUCAGAUUAGUACAUUCUUUGUUGAACAAAGAACUAAAUGGGCAGCAUUUAUCGAAGGCUGUUAAUGUCAUCUGUGAACACAGGUUUUGAAAAUUGGAUGAAAAUUUUUAAUUCAUGAGCAUGCUAUAUUUUGUUAAAGUAAAAUCGCAAAUUCUUUGCAUUCAAUAAUUAGUAUCCAGUGUAUGUGAAAUCCUAAAAACUAAUCUUUCUUAAAAAGUUUGUCUAUGGAGAUGGUCAUUUCUCAGAUUUGUUGGACGAUUUAGGGAGAUCCUUUUGGGUGAAUUAGCUCAAGGUUGGAAGUAAAAUUAUGUAAGCAAAUUCAGUGUCUCUUAUGGCAACUGUGAGACCAAUAUCUUUGGCUAUUCAAGGAUGCAAGGAUACUUCUUGUGUUUUUAGAGGUCCAGAAAGUCAGUGUCUUAUGAGAUUUCUUUGAUGACAUGAAACCUUGUGCAGAAGAAAAACACCACCAUAGCCUCAUCUGUUUUUCCAUCUUUUUUCAUCCUGGGCUAUAGUCAUUACUGCAAGGUACAUUGUCAUUCUUCUGUAGCAGCAAUACUUGACCAUAGCUUUUAAGAAAAACUUCUCUUACUAUUUAUCUGUGAAUCUGAGGGUUCUGCACAUUUCUUCUCAUCUGUGCAUAGCCCUGCAUUGUGCUGUUCUUUCCUGAGGGUGGUGUGCAAUCUCAUGCAGCCUGCUUGUCACUUGAGCAGGGAAAGAACCCACAGAGUGGCUGGAGUUUUUUUCAUCACCAAGACAGCUGCUGUGCUAGGCUUGCCACACCACCUUUGUUCCAGAGGCAUACCUGCUCUCUUCCCUCCCCUGUACCCUCUUCCAGGUGAAUUAUCAGCUGUCUUUUAAUAUGCUACAAAUUCUAGACUGUUCAAACACAGAUUGGCUAUCUUGCACGUGAGGAAGUUAAGGCCCACAGGGAUAACUUACUCAGCAUCCCAUAGCCAGAUCUCAUGCUUCUCUUGGUGCCAAGACCUGUGAUCCCCAGCCUCGAGUCUUGUGUUCCAUCGUCCUCAACAGUAAGUCUUGUGCAUCCCACUUCUUUAGUUUACCGCCUGACCCAGGUACAACAUCAGUUCAGAUAAUCUGGCCCCUCUCCUUAGCACAGCACGCAUCUGUGCUGCCGUUUGAGCUUCACCUGUAGGGUAGUGUGUUACCUUUGUAUGUUAAAGAUUCCUACAUGGUCACCUCAUUGUUAAAUCGGAUCUUAGCAAAGGAUGUAUUUUUUGGUAAGGGUCAGCAGCCUCUGGCAGUUUUAACUCACCACUAAAAAUGACAUCCCAUUAUUGCUGUUAAGCUUUCCCAUGAUCUAGAGAUUUGGAGAUGUGGCUUGUUUUCUUGAUAGAUUUGCCACGUCUUUGGUAGUGAGACACAUUGUUCUUUUGUCGACUUUUCUCCUUGAAUCAUUUCAGCAUUGGUGUAAUUGUUAAAACUCUAGGAAUGCAGAUGUGUUCCAUUUCAUUGGUGAAAGGUGGUCCCAGGGCUAAUCUGACUGCAAAGACCAAAUGUGGCAAUUUUAUCAAUGGCUAGGUGGGUCCAGGGUACAAGCUAUCAGAAGAGUCCAUACCUACCAAAAGUGACAGUGUCUCGGCAUUUCUUGUGUUUUCCAUAUUUCUGCUUCUCAAAGUAAACUGAAGCCCCAGCAUGGUUCCAGCCAGGUUAAGGAUAACCCUGGAAAGAUCUGUCAGUAACUUAGAUCAGGAACCUGGGGAGGGGAGUAAUAUUCUGCAAGCCAUUGAACCAAGUCACAUUUCUCACACUUUCUGAUGGUGCAUUGUUCAGAAAUCUCAUGGUUGCUUCACCCAAGUGUUAAGUGCUUUUGAGAAAAACUGGAAACAUUUCAAUUUACUUGAAAGUGUUUUCUCCAGUCCUUAAACCUGGGCAGCCCUUCCUUGCUUGGUAUUCCUUGUUCCACCACAGCAUCAGUAAAAGUGAAGUGGGUGAGUGUAUAUUUUAGAUCAUUGUUUACCUCUUCAUAAGUAAUAAAACACAUUUAUAGAAGAGUGUCAUCAGGACUAUCAGGAGAUACAUAUGUAUGUUGUUAUAAUCUUUAAUUUACCCAGCUACUCUGUGUGGCAUCAAGUGAUGGUAACUGAUGUUGAUAAAAUGUUUUAAAUCCAGUAACUUUCUUGUAACGCCUGAUAUUUAUGCAAAAUCUAGACAAGAACCCAAACUUUAGAAUCUGCUGAUUUGUGAUUUCUACAUUUCCCUGCUGCUUUUAAUGACUUGUGCCUCCCUUCUGUUGCUCUCAAAAAAUGGAUGGAGCAUUAUAUAAAGAUGAAGUAUACAAUGUUUAGAAACACAAACACACAUUGCACUCUCAUUUGGAUUCUGUCAUUCAAUAUGUGCUCUAGACUUAAACCUAAUACCCAUUGACUACCUCCUCAGUUUAUUAGAUUUCAAUUUUUUAAAGUUUCAUUCUUAGAUAACGCAUUUAAAUGUAUAACUUCACUCAUUCAGUGCUAUGUCAUUUCAUAGUACAGAUCUGUGUUAAUUUUUGACAGCUCUUAUAUACAGAUUUGUAGAAAUGUAAUAGAAAAUGAUUUUGCACAUAUGGUGCAAAUCUUGCUGGUGUAAGUUUAAUGUAGUGACAUGUGCCAAAGCUGCUUGGCAAAACAUGUCAAAUAGAAUGCUCAAGUCAGAACUCUAAUGUAAAUGUGUCUAAACAACAGUAUGUAUCAUUAUGUAUUUUUGUAAACAUAGUGAUGGUUUCUUUCAGUCAUUUAAGUACUGGAUAAAAAUAACUGCUUCACUUGAAAUAAUGGAGGGAAAUGUCACCCAGACUAUGGCAAAGUUGCUUGCAUUGUUAGGCAGUGGCAUUGGAUUUUUCGUUUUCUUUUUUCUUUUUUUUUUUUUAACAGAAGUGUGAAUUGACAUCAGAAAACAUCAAGAAACCCCCCCUCUGAAAAAAAACCUCAUUAAGUACUUACCUUCUAAACGUAAAUGUUAAAACUUUAGCUGACAUGUUAACACAUUAGAGAUGACUAUUACCCUUCACCAGUAUAUCAAAUAGUGGGAAACAUUGCAAGGGUUGGACUUCUCUCAUCUAAUGACCACCAUGGUCAGUUUGAUUGUUGAAAGCAUUAAAUUACUAAAUCCCUGCAGUAACAGUGACUAGAUUAAGCUUUUCUCAUAAUUACCCAUAGCUGGUUAAUACAAGGCUUUGUUUUCAUUGAAUCACUAGUCCCCAGAUUGCAGUGAAAGUGCAUGUGCUAGUAGAACCCAUUCAAAAUCUGUUCAUUCUCAGAAUAAUUGCACUAGUAUAAGUGUCCAGAUGUGUCUUGGCCAUGUUGGAAAAGCUUCAGGCCCAUUCAAAACCACUAUGACUACAAUAGUUAACUACAGCUAACUAAGAAAUGCAACUAUUGUGUUCUGGUUUGCCAGUUGUUUUGAUAAGCACUGUAAUGCAUUCUUUCAUACAAUCACAGCUACCCCCUGAGGCCGUUCAUAUUAUCACUGUGUGUGGAUAAGGAAACUGCCCCGAGUGAUCCAUCAAGAUCAUUGUAGGUUCAGUAAGUGGGAUGACCAGUUCAGUUUUCCCUGGUAGUCAAAGCUCAGUUCUCAAAACUUAUCUACACUUCUAGGUGGAUUUUUUUUUUUUUUAACUUAAGCCAGCAAGGAAAAGUUGAUAUUUGUACUUAAAUAAGAGCAUACAAAACACAUAUCCUCUGAAAACUACCCAGGUUCCUGCAUAAAACUUGACCUAACAAUCUGUGAAGACCAGAAAAGUUUUAAUUUAAGUGAGUAGAUUAAAACUGCUAGUUCUUUCACAUUUGUCUUAUAGUCCUAGUAUUAAAAUAUAGGGAUAUAAAAAGGGGAAAAAAUCUAAUUUGGUGAAAUGACAGUCUUUGGGGGCUCCUAGAAGUGGCACUGGGCAUCGGCCAAUGUUCCAUUGUCUUUACAUUUGUUGUAUUUGUAGCCUUAGAGUUAAGUCAGGUGUGGAAGAGUGUUUUAAUUUACAAUGUCAUUGUGAAAAUGGUUGUGAAGAUUUUGUAGGCAAAUACAAUAAGUUGAUCUUUUCCUGUAGUUUUGGCUUUAACAUCAAUUCGGCUGUGUUUUUAAGUUCAAGCAUGCCAAGGUCAUGAGGGGCCUGGUCGAGCUUAGGAACAGGGCAUGCCAGAGGUAGGUCACAAAGCUUUCAAGGUCACUGGUCCAGCCUGACCCUGCCCAGUUUAAGCAUUGCCUUUAUGCCUCUCUCUAGAAUUUCAUGUAGCAGCCUAACAUUGGGGCCAACUUGCCUUUACUCUAUUUUCUAUGAUGAAUACUUGUGGAAAAACUGUGACAAAUCCAUUGAUCCUAAUAUUUUUAUUGUUGGAGUCUUGUGGAUUCUCUAUGAAUAAUUUCUAUUUGAUUGUACUGUGUAGAGUUAAUACCCAUUAGGGAAAUGUUAAUAAAACUACAAAUGCAUAGUGUAAUAUAGAAUAGAAAAGAAAAAAUUUUGUGAACAAUUUAUAUAGAAGAGUAAGUUGUUUUUUAAGUGUUAGGCACAUUUCUUUUAGGAACUUAAAAUGUUAUAAGAGUUUUUUAAACAUUCAAUAUUUUUAAUUAUAAGAGACAUUUGUUACUAGAGCCAAUUAUUUCAGGUGUUCUAAUUGGAGUAUUGAUUUUAUUACCUCAUAUACCUCUAGAAUGCCACAUGUUCUGUUGGGGAUAAAGUUGCACAAUAAAUGUCAAGUCUCUGUUAAGUGUUUUAAAUUGAUUUUUGCAUCUU